CAGCCCUAUCAGCUUACAGCAUGACAUGCCCGUCGUUACUGAGGCUCUGACUCAUGGUUCUGUUUAUCCUCCCCACCUGAGAGUUGAGGAGACACACCUGGGAGGUUUGCCAGCUGUGAACUACAGUGUCCAGAUGCCAUGCAUCCAUCUCCCAGCUCCUGGGACUGUGAGUGGACACAGUUCUCAUCAUGCUGGGCAGCUUGGCAAGAGCUCGUUCAGCAAACAGAAAAACAGCAUAGAAGAGACAUCAAGUUUUAACUCCAUAAAAGGAUCAGUGCCAUAAAGUUCUUUAAAA
rnacentral:lncRNA from 1 species